rnacentral:rRNA from 1 species
UACGGAGGGGACUAGCGUUGUUCGGAAUUACUGGGCGUAAAGCGCACGUAGGCGGAUUUGUAAGUCAGGGGUGAAAUCCCGGGGCUCAACCUCGGAACUGCCUUUGAUACUGCAAAUCUCGAGUCCGGAAGAGGUGAGUGGAAUUCCUAGUGUAGAGGUGAAAUUCGUAGAUAUUAGGAAGAACACCAGUGGCGAAGGCGGCUCACUGGUCCGGUACUGACGCUGAGGUGCGAAAGCAUGGGGAGCAAACAGG